rnacentral:miRNA from 1 species
UACAUAUAUGUUAUUUACCGGCUGCGAGGUCCGGAUGAGAAAAACUGUGCCUGAGGUAUUGAAAACGGCCCGAGCCCGAAGGGCAAGGGACGUUUUCAAGACCGAGGGCACAGUUUUUCUCAUCCGGACCGACGCUGCCGGUAAAUAACGUGUUUAUU